UAGGCUGAAAUCUUAGGCAAAUCCGGGAUUUCAAGGCCGAGAGCUGAUGACGAGUUGCCUCUAGGCGACGAAGUGGUUGAUACCAUGCUUCCAAGAAAAGCUCCUAAGCUUCAGAUAACUGGGAACCGUACCCCAAACCGACACAGGUGGUUAGGUAGAGAAUACCAAGGCGCUUGAGAGAACUCGGGUGAAGGAACUAGGCAAAAUGGCACCGUAACUUCGGGAGAAGGUGCGCCGGCGAGGGUGAAGGACUUGCUCCGUAAGCUCAUGCCGGUCGAAGAUACCAGGCCGCUGCGACUGUUUAUUAAAAACACAGCACUCUGCAAACACGAAAGUGGACGUAUAGGGUGUGACGCCUGCCCGGUGCCGGAAGGUUAAUUGAUGGGGUUAGCGCAAGCGAAGCUCUUGAUCGAAGCCCCGGUAAACGGCGGCCGUAACGAUAACGGUCCUAAGGUAGCGAAAUUCCUUGUCGGGUAAGUUCCGACCUGCACGAAUGGCGUAACGAUGGCGGCGCUGUCUCCACCCGAGACUCAGUGAAAUUGAAAUCGCUGUGAAGAUGCAGUGUAUCCGCGGCUAGACGGAAAGACCCCAUGAACCUUUACUAUAGCUUUGCACUGGACUUUGAAUUUGCUUGUGUAGGAUAGGUGGGAGGCUUUGAAGUGGGGACGCCAGUUCUCAUGGAGCCAUCCUUGAAAUACCACCCUGGCAACUUUGAGGUUCUAACUCAGGUCCGUUAUCCGGAUCGAGGACAGUGUAUGGUGGGUAGUUUGACUGGGGCGGUCUCCUCCCAAAGAGUAACGGAGGAGUACGAAGGUGCGCUCAGACCGGUCGGAAAUCGGUCGUAGAGUAUAAAGGCAAAAGCGCGCUUGACUGCGAGACAAACACGUCGAGCAGGUACGAAAGUAGGUCUUAGUGAUCCGGUGGUUCUGUAUGGAAGGGCCAUCGCUCAACGGAUAAAAGGUACUCCGGGGAUAACAGGCUGAUACCGCCCAAGAGUUCAUAUCGACGGCGGUGUUUGGCACCUCGAUGUCGGCUCAUCACAUCCUGGGGCUGAAGCCGGUCCCAAGGGUAUGGCUGUUCGCCAUUUAAAGUGGUACGCGAGCUGGGUUUAGAACGUCGUGAGACAGUUCGGUCCCUAUCUGCCGUGGACGUUUGAGAUUUGAGAGGGGCUGCUCCUAGUACGAGAGGACCGGAGUGGACGAACCUCUGGUGUUCCGGUUGUCACGCCAGUGGCAUUGCCGGGUAGCUAUGUUCGGAAGAGAUAACCGCUGAAAGCAUCUAAGCGGGAAACUUGCCUCAAGAUGAGAUCUCACUGGGAUCUUGAAUCCCCUAAAGGGCCGUCGAAGACUACGACGUUGAUAGGUUGGGUGUGUAAGCGCUGUGAGGCGUUGAGCUAACCAGUACUAAU
rnacentral:rRNA from 1 species